rnacentral:rRNA from 1 species
UACGGAGGAUGCAAGCGUUAUCCGGAUUUAUUGGGUUUAAAGGGUGCGUAGGCGGGCGCGUAAGUCAGCGGUGAAAUACCCCUGCUCAACAGGGGGGCUGCCGUUGAUACUGCGUGUCUAGAGUGCGAACGGCGCCGGCGGAAUGUGUCAUGUAGCGGUGAAAUGCAUAGAGAUGACACAGAACACCGAUCGCGAAGGCAGCUGGCGAGCACGACACUGACGCUGAGGCACGAAGGUGCGGGGAU